rnacentral:rRNA from 1 species
AUUGAACGCUGGCGGCAGGCCUAACACAUGCAAGUCGAACGGUAACGGGAAGAAGCUUGCUUCUUUGCUGACGAGUGGCGGACGGGUGAGUAAUGUCUGGGAAACUGCCUGAUGGAGGGGGAUAACUACUGAAAACGGUAGCUAAUACCGCAUAACGUCGCAAGACCAAAGAGGGGGACCUUGGGGCCUCUGUCCAUCGGAUAUGCCCAGAUGGGAUUAGCUAGUAGGGGGGGUAACGUCUCACCUAGGCGACGAUCCCUAGCGGGUCUGAGAGGAGGACCAGCCACACUGGAACUGAGACACGGUCCAGACUCCUACGGGAGGCAGGAGUGGGGAAUAGUGCACAAUGGGCGCAAGCCUGAUGCAGCCAUGCCGCGUGUAUGAAGAAGGCCUUCGGGUUGUAAAGUACUUUCAGCGGGGAGGAAGGGAGUAAAGUUAAUACCUUUGCUCAUUGACGGUACCCGCAGAAGAAGCACCGGCUAACUCCGUG